UCACCUGGCAAAGCUGUUGGACUCACCUGCUCAGAGCCUGUCAGGUUGGUGGGAGGAGCCAGUCGCUGUGCAGGUACACUGGAGGUGAAAGUGUGGAAAGAGUGGAGACCAGUGGGUGAUUCUUACUGGACCAUGAAGGAAGCAGCUGUAAUCUGCAGAGUUCUGGACUGUGGCUCUGCUGUUUCAAUAGGAAAUGAGCCCUCAUUCAGACGUGUAUGGAGGAUCAAUCGUGACUGUGUUGAGUCUGGAUCUUCACUGAGGGACUGUGCAUCAUCACAUUACUCUUCCUCCUUCAUAGAGCUCACCUGCUCAGCAUACAGAGGAGGAGAAGGAGCCCAGGGAGCAGAGUAGGACCUCCAAGGAGCCACAAACCACCGUAGAAGAUAAUCAUGUUUGGGUUCAUCUCUCCUCUCAGUCUCAGCCUGGUUUUUGCAGCCCAGUACGGCGAGGAAUGACGUCCAUACUGGUCGAUUCCACAGCUUCUGAUUUACAUCCAGCUCCAACGCUCAGUGCCACAACAGGAAGUAGUGAGACCUUUAUUAAGACCAGUAGAACAAGAGCAGAGAGGAGAUCUGAUUGGACCAUUUGUAACAUGAUUAUCUGUAUAUAGUUAUAUUUUAUCAUCAUUAACUUCUCUCAUGUGAACAGCUGUAACUGUUUUUUACUUAAAUAUCUUUAUGAAUCCAGAGUUUUAUGGUCUCAUCUGGAUAAAUGUUGAGUCAACAAAUCAUUUAAAAAUCCAUCCAGUUGUUUGAUGGUUUAUAUCUUUUUUCUUCACUGCCUUUUAUAUACUACUUAUUCAGCUGAAAUGUGUUAUUGCUUUUUUCAGAAUAUUUGCUUUUUGAGUUAAAGAAACAGAAUAAAAGAAAAAGUUAUUGAGUGAAAUCAAAUGUUUAAUCUUUGUUUUGCUGUUUUCAAGAAAAAAAUUCUUUUGUUUGACAGAAUUUAAAGCACAUGUGUUUCUGCUGAAUGUUCACUCAGCCUGCAUUUAUUGGAUGUGACAGUUUCAUGCAAAUAAAUCAGUUUCUAAUGUAUCAAUAACA